UACGUAGGGUGCGAGCGUUUGUCCGGAAUUAUUGGGCGUAAAGAGCUCGUAGGCGGUCUGUCGCGUCGGUCGUGAAAACUUGGGGCUUAACCCUGAGCUUGCGGUCGAUACGGGCAUGACUGGAGUUCGGUAGGGGAGACUGGAAUUCCUGGUGUAGCGGUGAAAUGCGCAGAUAUCAGGAGGAACACCGGUGGCGAAGGCGGGUCUCUGGGCCGAUACUGACGCUGAGGAGCGAAAGCGUGGGGGAGCGAACAGG
rnacentral:rRNA from 1 species